GAUGAACGCUGGCGGCGUGCCUAAUACAUGCAAGUCGAGCGAAUUGACAGAGGUGCUUGCACCUCUCGAUUUUAGCGGCGGACGGGUGAGUAACACGUGGGUAACCUACCUAUAAGACUGGGAUAACUUCGGGAAACCGGAGCUAAUACCGGAUAAUAUUUAGCUUCGCAUGAAGCAAUAGUGAAAGACGGUUCUGCUGUCACUUAUAGAUGGACCUGCGGUGUAUUAGCUAGUUGGUGAGGUAACGGCGCACCAAGGCAACGAUACAUAGCCGACCCGAGAGGGUGAUCGGCCACACUGGGACUGAGACACGGCCCAGACUCCUACGGGGGGCAGCAGUAGGGAAUCUUCCGCAAUGGACGAAAGUCUGACGGGGCAACGCCGCGUGAGUGAAGAAGGUUUUCGGAUCGUAAAACUCUGUUGUAAGGGAAGAACAAGUACGUUAGUAACUGAACGUACCUUGACGGUACCUUACCAGAAAGCCACGGCUAACUACGUGCCAGCCGCCGCCUAAUAC
rnacentral:rRNA from 1 species